GCCAAAGUGGCUCAGAGGUAGAGCAGCUCACUCGUAAUGAGCAGGUCCUCGGUUCGAUUCCGAGCUUUGGCU
rnacentral:tRNA from 1 species